rnacentral:rRNA from 1 species
CCCGCACAAGCGGAGGAACAUGUGGUUUAAUUCGAUGAUACGCGAGGAACCUUACCUGGGCUUAAAUGUAGAGUGCAUUUUUUAGAGAUAGAAAUUCCCUUCGGGGCUUUCUGCAAGGUGCUGCAUGGUUGUCGUCAGCUCGUGCCGUGAGGUGUCGGGUUAAGUCCCAUAACGAGCGCAACCCUUAUCGUUAGUUGCCAGCUGGUAAAGCAGGGGACUCUAGCGAAACUGCCACCGUAAGGUGAGAGGAAGGUGGGAUGACGUCAAAUCAGCACGGCCCUUAUGUCCAGGGCUACACACGUGUUACAAUGGCCGGCACAGAGGGCAGCUACCUGGUGACAGGAUGCUAAUCUCGAAAACCGGUCUCAGUUCGGAUCGAAGUCUGCAACUCGACUUCGUGAAGCUGGAUUCGCUAGUAAUCGCGCAUCAGCCAUGGCGCGGUGAAUACGUUCCCGGGCCUU